CGCUAGCUAUAUGUUAAGUGUAUGGGUCAUAAUUUGCUGCUGCGUCUCAAGGAAAAUCUUUUAUCAAGUCGACACUUUUCAUAAAUAUGGACAGUAUGAAAUAUGAAAAGCUCCUCAACUAUAAAGUCAAAGGUGACUAUCCACAUCCUUCAACAAAACAACAAAAACAUCUAAUUCGAAGGAAAGCUUCUUCGUACCGCUUUGAAGGAAAUGACAUCUUCUAUGUAAGACACAAAGGCAGUCUUACAUCAACAAAGAUCAAAGUUAUUAAAGGUGCUGAGGAAGCAGAAAGAGUCUUUGUGGACUUCCAUGACAGCCCUACAGGGACACAUCGUGGCCAGAUUAAAACACUAGAUGCCAUCUCAAGGAGGUUUUAUUGGCCAUGAAUGUCUGUUGACAUCAAGAAAUGGAACUUUUCAGGUCUCUGAGUGCUCAUCCUGUCAAGCCAGUGCCCAAGCCCUGAAACAGCCGUCAGAGUACACUCCCAUAAAGGUAAACUAAUUAAAAGUAAAAAGAAGCACUUUUAGUGAAACUACAUGGUAGUGCGGUGGUAAGCACAGUGGCCUCAACAUACAAAGAUGUUUGGUAUUAAGGUAUUUUCUAUGUGGGGUUUGCAUGUCCGACCAAUGGGUCUUCUCAGGAUAGGAUAGGUUUCAUUAACUCUUAACUUUAAAUUGCUCCUAUAAGUGAGUAUCAGUGGUUGUUUGUCCGGUUUUCUCUGUGUGUUCUCACUAGGGGUACACAUCUGGAACGAGUUGAUGUAAAAAACGGAAAACUAGCUGAGAAAUCCCUACCCCUUCCUCAUCAUCAGAUGUGCAUGAUACUUUUAUGGGGAAAGAUGUCCAUGUCCUUCUAUCGAGAGUGAAUGCAAGUUGCUUUACUCUGACAUAAAUAAAAUCAGUCCUGAUAUAGAACUGGAGAGUGAGUCUAUCCAUGCAUUUAUGGCUGUUAUCAUAAAGGAUUACAACAUCCAGAAUACAGGACUGGCUGCUUUUAUAGAUUCAUUUGCAAUGACAGCAAUGUGGCAGGGAAAAAGUCCGAGAUUAAAGUGGUGAUCUACCCACAAGACAAAAGGUUUUUGUUCUUGAAUCCACUAGGGGAGUCAAAGCAAGACAUCCAGAAAUGUUUGCAAAUCACGAGGCCACUUAUGAGGAAGAAGGGAUGCAGUGUGUCAAGGUGGACCUGUGAUACUGUCAAACAUCCCGAACAACAGGACAGUUCAUCAUGUGGAGUAUUUGCAUUAAAGGUGCAUACAUAUUUUCACACAAUGAAUGAUUUUAUGAUUAUGAUAAACAUUUUGAAGCAUAUGAACUUUGUUACUUUCUUUCAUUUAAAGCCAUUAAAUCCAGCUUUACAUGUCAGUUUGCAGAAAGACGUCUUGCAAAAGAGGCUGUGGAUUUUCAACAGGGACUACAAUAACAUUUAUUUUAGAAAAUGAUUUAUUUGUUCACAAAUAGAUAAAUUCAACCAUUAUAUUUUCUGUUAUUAUUAAAGUUCAUAAUGCUACUUUUAUCACUAAUUAUGUCCAAAAAUGGUACAUACUCAUAGACACCUCCUGAAUAAAUUGUGUUUGUGCUUAUCACAUCCUGUUUAAUAGUUACCAGAUAUAGUGGCCAUAUAUAAAUCUCAAAGCAAGUCACUGAGCUCCACAGACAAACAAACUUUGAAACACAAAAAUUUGCUGAGUGAAUAUGCAAAAACAUGAAAAACUGUAUAUAUAGGUAUGAUUUUAUACUUUACAUUUAUUCUUAUCAGAUGACUCAGAUGACUUGUGCCACUUCUGCAGAGAGAUGGAAAACAAGACAGACUUGGACUGGGUAACAAUAUUUUAAAAUUAUUCAAACAUAACUGUUUGAACAUAACAAAAACGGUAAUUUUAUCUUGCUUAUACAAGCUUUAAUAGGGUCCUACCCUCCUGUAGACCGAAGUUGGAAUAAGUUGGAAUAGAAAAUGAAUAGAUGUUGUAAUUGUAAAGAGAUAUUCUAGUUGAAAAUGCCUUGUAUUAUUUGUCCCUUUUUUAGAUCCAAUGCGAGACGUGCCUGAGGUGGUUUCAUCAGGCAUGAAAACACAUUCAAGUGCUUUGCAUGUUCUCCUUAAGUUUGUGUGAAUGCUGUGGUGUGCUUGUUUGUUUAGGCUUUCUUUAAAAGUGAAUAAAUUACAGUUUGAAAAAUAAGCUUGAUAUUUUUCUUUACAAAACUUCAUAUAAGGUAACUAUGGGAAGGAAAGAGCCACAAAGUCUCAAAAUUCACUGGAUGUAACAUCCAUGAUUCUGGUAAGUUAUUUUGUUUCCAUGUUAUGAGUGGGGAACAGAAUAUUUCAGCUUCCUGAAAUAUUCUGGAAUAUUCUGAAUACCUUUGAAUUAUCUCAUAAUAUUAAAAUAGUCCAUGACGAGAGGAAUGAACACAGUAAAACAUUUGCCUGUAAGUUAUUUUGUUCACAUGUUAUGAGGGGGGAACAGAAUAUUUCAGACAGUCAAAAUAAAAGGUUCCCAUCUGUACCUUUGCCAAAUAAAGAGCAAAUGUGUCCAAAUUCACAAGGAUAGUUUUGUAUGAUAUGAGGAAUGAUCGACCCAAAACAUAAGAUGAUUGGUUAAUCCAUGUCCCAUGGGGUAACAACAUCAGACAUUACCGAUAAAAAAUUAGCUACUAGAAAUAUCUUUCAUAAAUCCAGCAUUUUGUCAUAUUUUACAUUAGAACGCGAUUUACCAGAAUGAUAAGCUACACUCUAUUCAGGAAGCCUGAUUUUUCGUCUCCAGCAGAGUGAGCUUACAUUGUUUUAUAACAGUAAUAAAAAACAUAAACACAACGUGUUUGGUGGCUGACUGAUGUCCGUCAGGUUAAAGUGAACAUAAUUUCGCACAACACCGGAACCCCAUAUUAAUAAUGAUUAACAGGACUCCUACACAGUCUGCAAAAGUAUGAAAUUUGAUGUCAGUAGCCUAUUUUCCAGAUGAACAUAUGGAAGAACAUUUGCCGUCCAUACUUUAUCCCGUUUCAUUGUCUAAAUGACUCCUCAUGUCAUUCUUUCCCUUCUCUCUCCCUUGUGUCCUUUCUUGUGCCCUUUAUUUGUCACAAAUACACAUUUUUGUUCCGCUUUACAAUCAGGCACUGUUUUCUGUUGGCUGACCCCAUAAAGUCCCAAUAAAAACACUGGUGUAUUGUUCGUAACAUAAAAAAUGUAUAUAGUUCAAGUGGGAUGAAUACUUUAGCAAGGUAUUGCUUAAGUCAAAUUCAGAUUCAUGAAAUAAUUAAUUUACAGUCAUCUAUCUGAUCAGCACUCUGUGGAACCAUUAGUACUAUGUUCUAAUUAUUUUUGUUUGAACCAUUUAUGCAUAACAUCUAUCAUACAUUUGUCAAUGCAUUUAUCAACUAUGUUCUUUUCCAAAAUAAAUUAAUACAAAUGAAAGAAUAUUAUUACUUCUGUUUAAAAGAACUAGAAAGGAGAACUUGUAAUGGUUUUUUUUUUUUUUUAUGUUUUUAACUCUACAACACUUAGGGUUAAAGUAGAAGCUGUACUAAAAAAACCUUACAGAUAAGAAAAUGUGGCUACUUUCACUUAAGGAAAAGGUUUUUAGACAGAUAGCAGAGAUAAUCAUCGGAAAACUUAAACAAUUGUUACUUACACAUUUGUCAGAGUGCAGAACUGUGACAGUCCUUUGAGAAAUAUAACAUCUGGCCACUCGCAUGGGAAAUCACAUAGAUGGGUACAUCACAUAUAUUGUAUGCUAUAUGAUACGAUUAUAAUAAAAAAAAAUGGCAAUAACUUCUUCCACAUUGAUAUAGGGUUAAGCAAAAAAAGAUUUUCUUCGCAAAGCAGAAAAGUGUUACUGUUUUUUUUUUUUUACUAUGUUUUGUUCUGUCUUUAAAGAAAAGCAUACCUUACUUCCCAAGCUACAGCCCAAGCUUGCUUUAACUGAUCCUCAUCCUUUUUGUAUGCAUAACUAUUGCACCCAUUGACAGCAAUAAGUAGUGGCCAAUCAGAGAUGGAGAAGGGCAGGUCAUCGUAGCACACUUGUGUCUUCCUGAGGUCAACAAGACAGUCAGUCAGUCAGUCAGUCAGUAAUUUUCUACCGCAACAUAUACUUUACAUACAAUUAACCAAAUUACCUAUCUCUUUAACAUUUAACUUUCGCCAAAUUGGCUCCCCUGAUGUGUAAAAAUAUUUAUUUUAUUAGACACGGAGACAUGGCAUGGAGGCUUAGUUCUUAGUUACUGUUCAAAAAACGGUAAAACAACAGAACAUUCCAUUAAAAUCAGAUUGGCAGAUGCUGAUCCUCAAACAUCAGAAAGCGGCUAAAGAAAGCUGCUACUUUCCUAAACUUGCCCAUAUGUAUGGUAAAGUUUUAAUCAAAACUGCCAAAUUGACAAAAUCUAGUCAGGAUGGAGUCUGGUUGAGGACCCAUGGUUUUGCUUUCUACCACUCACAGUAAGGAGGAAAUGAGGAAGGUACAAAAUAAUCUAUAUUGUUACAGCUUAGCAAGCUUAGCAACUGCAGCUUAGCAAGCCUAGCAUCUUGGCUUCAACAGGUUCUGAUAAAAACUAAUUCUUUUAGGACUUUUGUAUUUAUCUUUUCCAGUGAAUUGGGGACAGGGCUUCAUAAAUAAACAAAACCUCAGACAUUUGACAUUUUGACCUCUAACUGUUUAACUUUUUAAAACUGUAACCAAACUAGGUUUUUACACAGAUUUACGUUUAACCCUUAACAGUAUCAUAAAAGUACAGAAAUAUAACUUUAUUUUACAAAUGUAAAAAGAAUCACGGAAAAAAAACAAUCUUGCAUUAAAAUCUAGGCUCUCAAUCUAACUGGCGACUACAGAGAUUUUAUGCUGUGUAGGCUCAUCUUAAAAAAAAACCAAAAAAAAAAAAAAAAAAACCUUUGCAAGCGUAUUCUCAUGAUCAACAAAUUAAUUUGAGUCACUUUCAAUCUUAUUCAUGGCUAAAGCACGUAGGAAGGGAAAGUCAUCC